UAGGGAAUCUUCGGCAAUGGACGAAAGUCUGACCGAGCAACGCCGCGUGAGUGAAGAAAGUUUUCGGAUCGUAAAACUCUGUUGGUAGAGAAGAACGUUGGUGAGAGUGGAAAGCUCAUCAAGUGACGGUAACUACCCAGAAAGGGACGGCUAACUACGUGCCAG
rnacentral:rRNA from 1 species